rnacentral:lncRNA from 1 species
AAAGCACUAAGAAUAAAAUCAAUUAUAGACACAAAAACAUUCUUAUAUUUUCAAUCUUAAACUCAUAACCUCUAAUUAAAAGUAAUCUUAUCUAUUGCUCAAAAUAGAAUAAACAGAUUAAGAAAAUGAACUAAAUUCUCUGAAACAAGAAUCACAAAAUACACAUCUAGUGAAACAAAAACGGACCCUUUGCAAAUAAAAUCACACCCAUUGAUCCACAAAGAUAAAGAAAAUAAAUGGGUACACACAAAAAGAUGAAAACUUUAUCAAAUAACAAGAAACUGAGACAACAAA